rnacentral:rRNA from 1 species
GACAGAGGUGGCAAGCGUUGUCCGGAAUUACUGGGCGUAAAGAGCGCGUAGGUGGCUAGAUAAGUCCGGUGUGAAAUCCUUCGGCUUAACCGGGGAAUGGCAUCGGGGACUGUAUAGCUAGAGGACGGAAGAGGAGAGCGGAAUUCCCGGUGUAGUGGUGAAAUGCGUAGAGAUCGGGAGGAACACCAGUGGCGAAGGCGGCUCGCUGGGCCGGACCUGACGCUGAGACGCGAAGGCGUGGGGAGCGAACGGG